AAGAUGGGGGUGGAAGGGGGAAGAGUAAGGAAGGCAAGGUUGAGGGGCGCACCAGUUGGAAUAUUCAGUUGACCAGCUGGAGACGCCGUGGAAAGAAGCGCUCACACCUGCCUGCCCUUCACACCUGACCUUACACAUUUAAUUUGAUCUAGUGUUCCUGCCCAUGUCGUCGCCGGCUCCUCCGCCCCGCCUCCACACGCUACUUACUCGGUUGCAUGGUUCCGUGACACCCACCACCUGGCUAAGCAGUUACAACGGUACAGCCCAGUCAACGUCCUCGCCUCUCCACCCGCGCCCAGCAGUACCACCACCUACACCGAGACGCCCCCCCGUCAGACUCAGGGAUUGAUAAUUAUUUAUUGGUUCUUGAGCAGUUCAUGUCUAAGUCGAAGCACUCGUGCCACUCAGUUGAUUUUUUUUUUGUAAUUUUUGUAUUUUGAACUUCAAUGUCAGAUCUACGGACGGUCUUCGAGGUAUCGAAAUGCCCUUGAGACGCUGCUUUUUUCCUGUAAAAAAAGUAACUGCAAACGACUGAACCAAUUAUGACAGUGCUACAAAUUUACCUUCGUCUCUAGCACCGGAUUUCUCGGCCAUAUUCCUCUAGGUUAAUAAAAUGAUUUUCUACUUUCAA